UGCGGAAGGAUCAUUGCCGACGCCCCGAACGGAACGACCCGCGAACCGGUUAUGCCAACGCACGCCCGGGGGGGCCGCGCGCCCCCGACGGCACAACAACCAACCCCGGCGCCAGUCGCGCCAAGGAAACGAAACGCGAGAGCGGGCCCCCGGCCGCCCGGCCCCGGGACCGGCCGGGGAGCCCCGCGCGGCAGCCAUGCCAACCGAGCAUGCGCAAAACGACUCUCGGCAACGGAUAUCUCGGCUCUCGCAUCGAUGAAGAACGUAGCGAAAUGCGAUACUUGGUGUGAAUUGCAGAAUCCCGCGAACCAUCGAGUCUUUGAACGCAGGUUGCGCCCGAGGCCAUCCGGCCGAGGGCACGCCUGCCUGGGCGUCACGCAACGUCGCCACCCACCCCACCGGGGGCGGGGCGGACGAUGGCCUCCCGCGAGCACCGGCUCCCGGCUGGCCGAAACACGGGCUUGCGGUGUCGACCGCCGCGAUCCACCGUGGACGACCCCAGAUCGCUCCAGCCCGGCCGCGAGCGAGUCGGCCGCCGACCGGCCCCGGGACCCGAACGCGCCGCGGGCGCUCCCGACGCGACCCCAGGUCAGGCGGGGACACCCGCUAGUUUAA
rnacentral:rRNA from 1 species